GACGAACCGUGCGAACGUUAUUCGGAAUCACUGGGCUUAAAGCGCGUGUAGGCGGAUGGGGACGUCGGUCGCUGAAAUCCCCCGGCUCAACCGGGGAACUGGCCCCGAAACGCCCCGUCUGGAGGAACGUAGGGGGAUCUGGAACUUCCGGUGGAGCGGUGAAAUGCGUUGAGAUCGGAAGGAACGCCCGUGGCGAAAGCGAGGUCCUGGACGUCUGCUGACGCUGAGACGCGAAAGCCAGGGGAGCGAACGGG
rnacentral:rRNA from 1 species